UACGAAGGGGGCUAGCGUUGCUCGGAAUCACUGGGCGUAAAGGGUGCGUAGGCGGGUCUUUUAAGUCAGGGGUGAAAUCCUGGAGCUCAACUCCAGAACUGCCUUUGAUACUGAGGAUCUUGAGUAUGGGAGAGGUGAGUGGAACUGCGAGUGUAGAGGUGAAAUUCGUAGAUAUUGGGAAGAACACCGGUGGCGAAGGCGGCGCUCUGGACCGAGACUGACGCUGAGGCGCGAAAGCGUGGGGAGCAAACAGG
rnacentral:rRNA from 1 species